AGAUUGAACGCUGGCGGCAGGCCUAACACAUGCAAGUCGAGCGGUAGAGAGGUGCUUGCACCUCUUGAGAGCGGCGGACGGGUGAGUAAUGCCUAGGAAUCUGCCUAGUGGUGGGGGAUAACGUUCGGAAACGGACGCUAAUACCGCAUACGUCCUACGGGAGAAAGCGGGGGACCUUCGGGCCUCGCGCCAUUAGAUGAGCCUAGGUCGGAUUAGCUAGUUGGUGAGGUAAUGGCUCACCAAGGCGACGAUCCGUAACUGGUCUGAGAGGAUGAUCAGUCACACUGGAACUGAGACACGGUCCAGACUCCGUACGGGAGGCAGCAGGUAGGGGAAUAGUUGGACAAUGGGACGAAAGCCUGAUCCAGCCAUGCCGCGUGUGUGAAGGAAGGUCUUCGGAUUAGUAAAGCUACUUUUAAGGUUGGGAGGUAAGGUUUAGUAAACUUUAAUACGUUGCUAAUUUGACGUUACGACAGGAUAAG
rnacentral:rRNA from 1 species